GAUGAACGCUGGCGGCGUGCCUAAUACAUGCAAGUCGAGCGAACAGACGAGGAGCUUGCUCCUCUGACGUUAGCGGCGGACGGGUGAGUAACACGUGGAUAACCUACCUAUAAGACUGGGAUAACUUCGGGAAACCGGAGCUAAUACCGGAUAAUAUAUUGAACCGCAUGGUUCAAUAGUGAAAGACGGUUUUGCUGUCACUUAUAGAUGGAUCCGCGCCGCAUUAGCUAGUUGGUAAGGUAACGGCUUACCAAGGCGACGAUGCGUAGCCGACCUGAGAGGGUGAUCGGCCACACUGGAACUGAGACACGGUCCAGACUCCUACGGGAGGCAGCAGUAGGGAAUCUUCCGCAGUGGGCGAAAGCCUGACGGAGCAACGCCGCGUGAGUGAUGAAGGUCUUCGGAUCGUAAAACUCUGUUAUUAGGGAAGAACAAAUGUGUAAGUAACUAUGCACGUCUUGACGGUACCUAAUCAGAAAGCCACGGCUAACUACGUG
rnacentral:rRNA from 1 species